GAAAGCAGCUAAACCACAUCCAUUUUAGGGUAAAACAGAGAGAGAGAGAGAGAGAGAGCGGCAAAUUGAGACGAAAUAUGGGGAUCUUCAGUUGGCUCUUCCCAGAGAAAAACAGGUGGCCGGAGCUGAUAGAAAAGAACGGGGACGAAGCAGUAGUAAGAAUCGCCGAAGAGCACAAAUUGGCGGUGCAUAAAAUUAAAUAUGGUGAGCCCAUCUCUGAUAUAGACUACAACCCGGAACGCGUUCGUGUCUUCGUCAAUGCGGCAACGUCAUCCUGGUCCCUACGAUUGGCUGAGCAAUCCUCUUACCAUAUAAAAUAACAUAAACAAGCUCCUUAUAAGAGGAGCCUGUUCGUGGAUGUGAUAAAAGCAAUGUUAUGUACUAGUUACCCAAGAAAAAGGGAAAUGUUAUGUACUUUCUCUUAUCAAAUAAAAUAACAUAAAUAAGCUCCUUAUUAGAGGAGCCUGUUCUUGAA